rnacentral:rRNA from 1 species
CAGCCGCCGCGGGAAUACGAAGGGUGCAAGCGUUAAUCGGUAUUACUGGGCGUAAAGCGUGCGCAGGCGGUUUGUUAAGACAGGUGUGAAAUCCCCGGGUUCAACCAGGGAACUGCAUUUGUGACUGGCAAGCUAGAGUGUGGCAGAGGGGGGUGGAAUUCCGCGUGUAGCAGUGAAAUGCGUAGAUAUGCGGAGGAACACCGAUGGCGAAGGCAGCCCCCUGGGCCAACACUGACGCUCAUGCACGAAAGCGUGGGGAGCAAACAGGAUUAGAUACCCCGGUAGUCCCUGUCUCUUAUAC